CCUACGGGAGACAGCAGUGAGGAAUAUUGGUCAAUGGACGAGAGUCUGAACCAGCCAAGUAGCGUGAAGGAUGACUGCCCUAUGGGUUGUAAACUUCUUUUAUAUGGGAAUAAAAUGUUCCACGUGUGGGAUUUUGUAUGUACCAUAUGAAUAAGGAUCGGCUAACUCCGUGCCAGCAGCCGCGGUAAUACGGAGGAUCCGAGCGUUAUCCGGAUUUAUUGGGGUUAAAGGGAGCGUAGGUGGAUUGUUAAGUCAGUUGUGAAAGUUUGGGGCUCAACCGUAAAAUUGCAGUUGAAACUGGCAGGCUGGAGUACAGUAGAGGUAGGCGGAAUUCGUGGUGUAGCGGUGAAAUGCUUAGAUAUCACGAAGAACUCCGAUGGCGAAGGCAGCUCACUGGACUGCAACUGACACUGAGGCUCGAAAGUGUGGGUAUCAAACAGGAUUAGAUACCCGAGUAGUC
rnacentral:rRNA from 1 species